GUCGAGCGAACAGAUAGAGGAGCUUGCUCCUUUGACGUUAGCGGCGGACGGGUGAGUAACACGUGGAUAACCUACCUAUAAGACUGGGAUAACUUCGGGAAACCGGAGCUAAUACCGGAUAACAUAUUGAACCGCAUGGUUCAAUAGUGAAAGACGGCUUUGCUGUCACUUAUAGAUGGAUCCGCGCCGUAUUAGCUAGUUGGUAAGGUAACGGCUUACCAAGGCAACGAUGCGUAGCCGACCUGAGAGGGUGAUCGGCCACACUGGAACUGAGACACGGUCCAGACUCCUACGGGAGGCAGCAGUAGGGAAUCUUCCGCAAUGGGCGAAAGCCUGACGGAGCAACGCCGCGUGAGUGAUGAAGGUCUUCGGAUCGUAAAACUCUGUUAUCAGGGGAGA
rnacentral:rRNA from 1 species